rnacentral:rRNA from 1 species
UACGGAGGGGGCGAGCGUUAUUCGGAAUUAUUGGGCGUAAAGGGCGCGUAGGCGGCCAUUCAAGUGACGGGUGAAAGCCCUCGGCUUAACCGAGGAACUGCCUGUCAGACUGGAUGGCUUAAGACCGGGAGAGGUGAGUGGAAUUCCCAGUGUAGCGGUGAAAUGCGUAGAUAUUGGGAGGAACACCAGUGGCGAAGGCGGCUCACUGGACCGGAACUGACGCUGAGGCGCGAAAGCGUGGGGAGCAAACAGG